GGGGAAAAGGGAAAGAAAGGCAAAAAAGGGCCUAAAGGGGAGAAAGGAGAACAGGGUGCUCCUGGAUUAGAUGCACCUUGCCCAUUGGGUCCCGACGGACUACCCAUGCCUGGCUGUUGGCAAAAGUGAUGACUCUAACCUUACAAGCAUGAAGUUGUGUAUAUAGUGCUCCACUUUUUGUAUUUAUAGUUGAAAACUGAAAAUUUGAUUUUACAAGACUGAGAUAUGUUUACAUGUAGCUGCUUCUACUUGUUUGCAGUAAUCCUUGUGUACAUCUUUUUUGCCACUUAAGUCUGCAGUUAGAUGACAUGUAACUGCAGGACAAACCUGCAAAGACUCUCUCUUGAGAGAGAGGGAGAGAGACUGAUAACAGAAACCUGAUUAUUUCUGUAAAUUCUUAUAUUUUGGCUUGUGGACCUGCAUGGACAAUGAGUGUCAUGAACUAGUUUACAAGAAAUUGUGACCAAAUAAGAGCUGAUCAAAUGUACUGUACCAGCUGCCACUGGAGUUUACUGACUUGGCUUCCAUGUCCAUCCUAAAUGCUUCACUGAUUCAUGCCACCAUAUCUGCUCGUACAAACUAAAAAGCAUGAGUUGUGUGCCAGCCUGCUUGUUGUGUGUGUGUCACAUGCUAAAUGGCUGCUCACUGUGACCAUAGAUUCAAAGUUCUGAAUUGUUUCCUUUUGUCACCUCAAGGGAGUCACACCAUGGCUUAUUGCUAAAAAGAGAUAAAGCAGAGGAGAGUAGAAAGAGGCCUUGAAUUUUUGGGGAACACAGUUCCAGCUGCAGGUGGAUGGCUUCCAGCUUUGCGGGUCACCCUUUGCUCUAAGAGGGUCCCACCUGUUAAUCAGCGUUGGUUUGCCUUGCACUGCUCACAGUCAUGAAGACAUUCGCGAUAGGACCUGUCGACUGCUUAAUCAAGAAGGAAAGAAGUUUGAAGAAGCCAGACUUCGCUGUGGGCUGCUUGAAAAGGUUACAAAGACGCUGCGGGGAUCAUUGGACAGCAGACACUGCUGGAGACCAGAAGCUUCUCAACCUUACUCGAGGACUGACACGGUACGUGCUCUGCAUACUGCAUUUUGGGACUGCUGCAAGAUGAAGCAUUUCUGAGACGGGGUGAAUUGGAACAUUCUCCUCUGGCGAAUAAUGGAACUGACCAGAUACGUAUGUACCGUAGUGUGGUUUUUCAGGUGAUUCAAUUUAAGUUACACAGAAUUUGUUGACCUUCGCUGCAGGAUUUUGGAAGCUGUGGAUAAUUUUAUUUCAUUUUUCUUGGAACAGUUUCCAUAAAAGAUACGUUUCAAUAAUCUAGUCAACAUUUGUGAUGAUGGCUUUGAAGAAAGUACUUCAAGUCAUAUCUCGUUUCAGUAUUAAGUUUUUCUUUUUACAGUUUUUGAAGCCUUUUAAAAAAAGGAAGAAUUUAGUUUUAGGUUUCACUGGCUGAUCUUUUCAUCUUGUUCUUUUUCUGCUGUUGCAAUGAUUUUGGUGGACAUUAUUACCCAGAAAACAUUAGAGACAUGUCAGUGUGAUUACUGUUGCACUCUUGUCAUCACAGUACACUGUAAAAGGUGUAAUUAUUUCUCAAUUUCUAAUCAGAUGACUAGGACUAAAGAGAAACAUUGGCUACAUUUUGCUUCUCCGUUUUUUUAAUAACAAGAAGUACUUAAAUGGUGCACGUUUGUAGUUUUUGCCACAAGGUAUUUUGUAUGGUUUUGAGUCUUCAUAUGGUGCACUGUACAUAGUUUGAGAGACUAGUUUAUGAGAGAUGGUGCCAUAUUUGGCAGAUGGAAAUUCUUAUUUUUAUCACCUCAAUUCCUAGUGUAUAGCAGAAUAAUAAUGAUUUUAGUUAUUUUGGGGGAGUUCUUUCACGUGUAGACCAAAACUAGAGUUGAGGAAGGUAGCUUGCCUCCAUCCAUAUGUGGGCACCUAGCCCAUCUUGGAAUGCACAUUUUUUCCUUGCUAGGUGAUUUCUAAGUUGUGUGUAGAUGGGGACUUGCUGUAGUUGCACUUUUCAGGAUUGCUUUAGAAUGCUUUAGAAUCUCAGAUCAGUCGAAAUGCCACUAUAGUGCUCUUUCUCACUUUGCUAAAUGUUUAUUGUCAUUGUAGAAUAUCAGAGACAAAAACAACUUUUCCUGGAGGAAAAUCUUCACAAUUUUUUUUUUUAAUCUAAAAGCUACUUUAGAAGCCUCCAUCUAAU